rnacentral:misc_RNA from 1 species
UGGAAGUAAAAGUCGUAACAAGGUUUCCGUAGGUGAACCUGCGGAAGGAUCAUUACAGAAUGAAAAGUGCUUAACUGCAUUUUUUCUUACACAUGUGUUUUUCUUUUUUUGAAAACUUUGCUUUGGUAGGCCUUCUAUAUGGGGCCUGCCAGAGAUUAAACUCAACCAAAUUUUAUUUAAUGUCAACCGAUUAUUUAAUAGUCAAAACUUUCAACAACGGAUCUCUUGGUUCUCGCAUCGAUGAAGAACGCAGCGAAAUGCGAUAAGUAAUAUGAAUUGCAGAUAUUCGUGAAUCAUCGAAUCUUUGAACGCACAUUGCGCCCUUUGGUAUUCCAAAGGGCAUGCCUGUUUGAGCGUCAUUUCUCCCUCAAACCCUCGGGUUUGGUGUUGAGCGAUACGCUGGGUUUGCUUGAAAGAAAGGCGGAGUAUAAACUAAUGGAUAGGUUUUUUCCACUCAUUGGUACAAACUCCAAAACUUCUUCCAAAUUCGACCUCAAAUCAGGUAGGACUACCCGCUGAACUUAAGCAUAUCAAUAAGCGG